UGAACGUCUUGAAACACGGACCAAGGAGUCUAACAUAUCUGCGAGUAUUUGGGUGUCAAACCCGAAUGCGYAAUGAAAGUGAACGUAGGAGCGAUCCGCAAGGUGCAUCUUCGACCGAUCUGGAUCUUUACUGAUGGAUUUGAGUAAGAGCAUAUAUGUUGGGACCCGAAAGAUGGUGAACUAUGCCUGAAUAGGGCGAAGCCAGAGGAAACUCUGGUGGAGGCUCGUACCGAUUCUGACGUGCAAAUCGAUCGUCAAAUUUGGGUAUAGGGGCGAAAGACUAAUCGAACCAUCUAGUAGCUGGUUCCUCCGA
rnacentral:rRNA from 1 species